CCUACGGGGGGCUGCAGUGGGGAAUAUUGGGCAAUGGGCGCAAGCCUGACCCAGCGACGCCGCGUGAGGGAAGACAGCCUUCGGGUUGUAAACCUCUGUUGCAGGGGAAGAAGGAAGUGACGGUACCCUGCGAGGAAGCUCCGGCUAACUACGUGCCAGCAGCCGCGGUAAUACGUAGGGAGCGAGCGUUGUCCGGAAUUACUGGGCGUAAAGGGCGCGUAGGCGGCGCUUCAAGUCGUCUGUCAAAUGGAAGGGCUUAACCCUUUUUCGCAGACGAAACUGGAGAGCUUGAGAAGCAGAGAGGCAAACAGAAUUCCUGGUGUAGCGGUGAAAUGCGUAGAUAUCAGGAAGAAUACCAGUGGCGAAGGCGGUUUGCUGGCUGCAUACUGACGCUGAAGCGCGAAAGCCAGGGGAGCAAACGGGCUUAGAUACCCUGGUAGUC
rnacentral:rRNA from 1 species